rnacentral:rRNA from 1 species
UACGGAGGAUGCGAGCGUUAUCCGGAUUUAUUGGGUUUAAAGGGUGCGCAGGCGGAUUUUUAAGUCAGCGGUCAAAUCGUGGGGCUCAACCCCAUCCAGCCGUUGAAACUGGGGAUCUAGAGUGUGCGAGAGGUAUGCGGAAUGCGUGGUGUAGCGGUGAAAUGCAUAGAUAUCACGCAGAACCCCGAUUGCGAAGGCAGCAUACCGGUACACAACUGACGCUCAGGCACGAAAGCGUGGGUAUCGAACAGG